UGCUGAGAGGCCCAGGACCCAGCCUCAGACACAAUUGGGCUCCAUAACUACAGUAUACAUGCCAGAACCAGGCAAGCAGGCGACGAGUCAGAAAGAAAGCUUCCCCCAGGUGAUGGGUAUUCACAUUCCUUUGCGAAGCUCUUGCCCUAAGCAUUGCUUAACUGCCAUCUCUGAGAGCCUGGAGUUUCAUUCACCUCCCUGGCUUCAAGAUCUAGCACAAUACCUGGAACUUGGAAGAGACUUGAAACUAUUGCUUGGCUGAAAACACCGGGCUACCCAUCUAGAAUGUGACUCUAAAG